ACGAAAAAUUAUACUCAUUACGGACAUGAUUUAUUGUAGGAGGAAGGGAAGUUUAUACUUUGCCGCACCCUUCCUCCUCUACAGUAUGCUCCAAGAGAAAUGAUAAAUGGCGCCGUAGCUGGAGCGGCUUAGGGGUUCUUUUCGAAGAGGCUCAAUGAGGAUGUUUUUCUGUUCCUUACCGACGGCUGCUACAUACGUAUGUAUUUAUAUUCUGGAUCGGUGGAUGAUGGCUGCUGGGCAGAUGAUGAAUAUUGAAACUCUUGGGAAUGCUCAGGAUAUUGAUGAGUUGAUCUUGCGGAAUACUACUCGGAUUGUUUUUCCCUCAGCUUAACUCGUCUUAUGUAUUUUUACUCAGUCAACAAAUAAGUGGAAGUAGCUAGAGCUCACUGGAUUCUCUAACAACCAAC
rnacentral:sRNA from 2 species